GCCGGGCGUGGUGGCGGGUGCCUGUAGUCCCAGCUACUUGGGAGGCUGAGGCAGGAGAAUGGCGUGAACCCGGGAGGCGGAGCUUGCAGUGAGCUGAGAUCCGGCCAUUGCACUCCAGCCUGGGCGGCAGAGCGAGACUCCGUCUCAAAAAAAAAAAAAAAAAAAAAAGAGAUGGAGUCUCGCUGUCACCAGGCUGGAGUACAGUGGCGCAAUCUCAGCUCACUAUAACCUACACCUCCCGGGUUCAAGCGAUUCUCCUGCCUCAG
rnacentral:SRP_RNA from 1 species